AUGCAUUCCUUCAUAUUAAAAGACACUAAAAAGUAAUGGCAGAUGAAAUGUGGUCACGUUGAGCAGCUGCUCAGAACCUCAGUAAAGUAUGGGUCUUGAUUACAAAGAGAGAUCUAUGGAUCCCAGUUGAUGGGGAGCAGAAACACAGGAUGUCUUUAGGGGAAUAUGCAGUACAAAGAGGAAUGGGAUCUAGGCUGAGAUCUGGUCUGGUCAGGAGCAGACUGGCUGCCGGUAAAAAUGGAAAAGAAGAAACAUGUGCUCUGUAUGUUCAUCAUCCCUGUUUCCCACCUUCCUCUCCUUUGGAUUUAUGCCAGGUCUCCCAGGGAUAGGUCCCCUAGUGCCCUCUUUACUCUCCUCAAGGCCUGGUGGAUCCUAACCGAUGGAUGUUUAUGGAGAACUGGUGCUGCCACAGCCAGUAGCAGGACCUGUCUACACCUGUUGGUAACCUGAGCGUCCCACUCACCAAUCCCAGCCUUCAGGCUUUUCCACCCACAUGCCACGUCUCUUGAUCCAUUGGAAGUCAUUAGAUCAGAUUUGAACUGCCUGAGGGACAGGCUCUCCUUUUAAAUUCCAUUUAUCAAGAGCCAUUACGUGCCCAGAACUUGACGGGAUGCUUUUCCUGGAUUAUCAUAUUUAAUCCUCACACCAACAUCAGGUUACAGAUGAAGAGACCAAUUUAGAGAUUAAAUAAUUUUCCCAAGGUCACUCAACCAGUAAGCCUAGAAGUGGGAUUUGGACCUGAUUCGUUGUGUGCAAGCAUAUGCUGCAUCACACUGCCCAGGGCCAGGACGGGCAGCAGAAUGCAGCCUCCUCCACAUGUUCGCCGGACUCUCAGCAUCUAGAGAACUUUGCCCGUCAGCCAGGCAUCUCAAAGCCACAGUCACAGCUCUGGACACACAGGCGCUGAGGAGAACUGAUCGAGCAGUAAUGUCUCCAUGGGGACCAGCCAGUCAGCAACAGUGUACACACUCACUGUGUACUGACCAGGACUCAGACAAUAUGUUCUGCCAAUCCCUGGACUCCUAAUUAGCCUUCCACCUCCCAAAAUGCUCUGUCUCAGAACCCAGCCACCAAGUUGUUAUAAAUCCAAGCCACAUGGAAAGACUGCCUGUGGGAGGCACAACUCAAACUAGGUUUGAACUUUCAUUUAUAUCCAUUGUGUCACUGGAAAAAUUAGAAAUAAAUUAAGUUCUACUAAAAUCUAAUAUCCUAAUUGUCUACGGCACCAUCAUUCAUCUGCACGUCAGAGUCAACAUGUG
rnacentral:lncRNA from 10 species